rnacentral:lncRNA from 1 species
UCAGCAUCCUCAGGAUACAGAGUUUAAAAAUACCAUUUCCUUUACCCAACUGCCCUUGUGUCCUGAGCUGAGCACCCCGACACUGACCCAGACCCUUAAGGGAGCUAAUGCAUCGGAUGGCUCUGUGCAGGGUGACUGAGAAGCAGUAUCUUUGCCAUCAGUGUCUUUCCGAGGAACUGAGUUUAGAAAUCCGUCUCUACUAAGAUGCCCUUCAUCAUCCUAAGCCCUCUCAUUCUUUGUCCCAGGUCCCAUGAUGUGAAAAAUGGAGGUGAUCUUACUCAUUCCACCCGUCAUCCCGGUCAGUCCUCUCCCCGCCCGGUCACCAGUCAUCGGGGUGUCACCAACAAGCAGGCCGCAUCCGGGCUUACUGGCCCACAGCUACCCUGUCACACAAGAAAGAAAUCACCUCACUUGAACGGGACCAGGCCAAGAAGUUCCAUGGCCAGUCCGAAUGGAAGUCCCCGUGUCAGCAGGGUUAGUCCUGCUGACACUCCUACAGGAGUUAACUGCCACCCGGGGAUGGCAGAGCACCCUAAGGAACAAAACCUCACCAUCAGCAUUCAGGACAAGCCUGGUCACCAAGCGCAGUCUCAGCCUAACCAACACAGCAAUUCCAGGGAGGCCCCUAACAAGCCUGUUCCUCCUACCGCCAUCAGCUGCUCUGCGGUACAAUCCACCCUGAAUGCACUGACAGUGUUGAUUUACAGUGAAGCAGCAGAGACACUCUCCCCAAGCGCGUCCUGCUCCAAGCCAGUGAUAAAUGGCAAGUCCAAGGUGAGCUCCAGCGUGCUGGUCCUCUAUGGUGCACAGUCAUCCAAAGAGUCCGACUAGGGUUCCAAGGGCCUGGCAAAGGGGAAUGAUGUGGGCAGGAUGGCCACAGCUCACCAUGCUGGCCAUGACGCUAAAGAGGAGGAGGCCCCGCCACAUGAGCUUCAAGAACCUGUCACUUUAAAUGGUGCUAGUAGUACAGACAGUGACCCAAAGGAAAACGGCCUGUCAUUUGAGGGUGCCAGUUGCCAAGUCCAGCCUGCUUUGCACUCAGAAAAUCUCUUUUCUAAAGCAAACGGUCUUCCUGGGGCAGGGAGUUGGUUGGGGAAGGCUUGGUUUGAGCCUCAUCUGUGGCCCGUUCACUCAGCCAGAUUUCGGUCAGCACAGAGCUCACAGCUACUGCUGAAAGGUCUUUGUUUUUUAUUGUAGUUACCAGCUGCUUCCUUGCCUUCUAUUCCGGAAGACAAACCUUUAGAGACCUUCAGGCUUAGCGACGAAGUAAAAGGCUCAACAGAUGAAACCAGGUAAAGUAAGAAUAAAUUUGGAGGAAGUGAACUUCACAGUAGAAAAUCCAACGCUGAGUGGAUGUGUCAGCGUUUUAACUCUGUAAAAGUGUUACUGUGAGCAUCCCGAGCCCCUAGAUUUGAAAAACAGUCUAUAGGAUGUGCUCAUUUGCCUUUGAGAAGAGUUAGAGAACAGUCUGCGACCGCUUGUCGUUUUCUUCUGCGCCGCCUGCUCUGGCUCACAGUGCCUGUGCCCACUUCCGCUUCCACGUGCUUUCUCAUGUCGUCUUUUCAGUGAUGAGUGAGUGUGUGACGGGCAUACUGAGUUUAGAGGAAGAGGAGUCCCAGAACUGUCAUGAAGCAACUAUUUUGUAAGGGCCUCUCUAGAAAUGUGAAAUUAAUUUCAUAGAGAAUAUAAUUAUCCCCUGCCUUCAGUUUUAAGAAACAUCAGUGCAUUGGCACAGCUGUCAUGUGACUCGGAGUAAGAGGAAGGGAAUUGGAAGUGCAGCCG